AAUAGAUACCCCGGUAGUCCACGCCGUAAACGAUGAGUGCUAAGUGUUAGAGGGUUUCCGCCCUUUAGUGCUGCAGCUAACGCAUUAAGCACUCCGCCUGGGGAGUACGGUCGCAAGACUGAAACUCAAAGGAAUUGACGGGGGCCCGCACAAGCGGUGGAGCAUGUGGUUUAAUUCGAAGCAACGCGAAGAACCUUACCAGGUCUUGACAUCCUCUGACAACUCUAGAGAUAGAGCGUUCCCCUUCGGGGGACAGAGUGACAGGUGGUGCAUGGUUGUCGUCAGCUCGUGUCGUGAGAUGUUGGGUUAAGUCCCGCAACGAGCGCAACCCUUGAUCUUAGUUGCCAGCAUUUAGUUGGGCACUCUAAGGUGACUGCCGGUGACAAACCGGAGGAAGGUGGGGAUGACGUCAAAUCAUCAUGCCCCUUAUGACCUGGGCUACACACGUGCUACAAUGGAUGGUACAAAGGGCUGCAAGACCGCGAGGUCAAGCCAAUCCCAUAAAACCACUCUCAGUUCGGAUUGUAGG
rnacentral:rRNA from 1 species